AACGUAGGAGGCAAGCGUUAUCCGGAGUUACUGGGCGUAAAGCGUCCGUAGGUGGCUCUUCAAGUCUGCUGUCAAAGAGUGGGGCUUAACCCUGGAAAGGCGGUGGAAACUGAAGCGCUAGAGUGCGGUAGGGGUAGAGGGAAUUCCCGGUGUAGCGGUGAAAUGCGUAGAGAUCGGGAAGAACAUCGGUGGCGAAAGCGCUCUACUGGACCGCAACUGACACUCAGGGACGAAAGCUAGGGGAGCGAAUGGG
rnacentral:rRNA from 1 species